CCUCCCUUUCUUCUCUCCAUUUGUUGCCCCUCUCCUCCAGCAUGCCCUUCCCUACCAUGGCGCCUUCUCUCUCUCCUUCCCCUCCCAUGGUGCCCAUCCCUCCAUUCCCAUGACACCCCUCCCCCUCCCUUCUUCAUAUGGCGCCUCAUUACUCUCUAUUCUGGUGUCUGUUCAUCCGGGUUCAGUUUUGCAGAUCUGUAGCAAUCAAGUCCUAAUCCCUUUCUGCUGCUUCAGGAAGAUUGCCAGUGUUGCACGAGCAUGGAAUUGUGGACGUCGUUGUGCACUAUUCUAAGGUGUCGGCUAGCUGGCUAGAGGCGUGUGUGGUCACGGCCUAGUGACUUUUGUUCAUUUUCUUCACUCUAGUGUAUUUUGUCCAUUUCUCUCUAAGUCUCUUGCUCUGGUCUCUUAUGUUGUUGUCAAUCAUUUUAUCUAUGUAUUCAUUCUAAGGUGAACAACUGACUUCUUACUAUUCUUCAACUGUAUUCAUUAUUUUUGUUCCUCAGUUUGUAAGAUUGCCUUCUCAGUCUUAUAUUAGUUUUUGUAAUAGUAUCAGUCCUCAUUUUAUCAUAUUUAGUUAUCAUUUGCAUCUUUCUUCAGUCCUAUCUCUCACGAGUCUUGUCUUUUAGUAGAUGAUUAUUUCUGUUUUGAACCUCCUGUUCAUGUAAGUCCUAAGUUUUAAGUUUUCUGUUUUCUGUUUUUUGCACUGUUUUUUUGCUAGAUUAUUUUCACUUUUUAGUCAUCAGUACUCCUAAGUAUCAGUUUUUAAAUGUGACACCGUAACAUUUUGCCAAAUACAUGUAUUACAUUUUAUUAAUGACAUAAAGAUUUCAGAAAAUUAUACGACAAUUUCUUACAAUUGUUUUUUUUAAAUCAGGUUGGAAAAUUUGUUCCCAUGUUUAAAAAUAUAUAUGUUUCAAACGGUGUUCCCUUUUUCAAAAUUGGUUGUUUUUAAAUAAAUGUUCAUAUUUUAAAAAAGUUAUUCAGAAUUUUCUAAAAUUGUUCCCACUUAAGAAACGGAUAUUUCAAAGAUUGUUCGGGCCUGCACGUUUUCAAUAUUUGUUUGCCCUUCAAAAAUGAUUUAAAUC